AGCUUUGCACGGUAUCAUAGCCAAUGAGGUUUAUCUGCGGUGUGAUUAUUGCUAAUUGAAAACUUCUCCCAAUACCCUCCCGUGACGAUUUGAAAUAUAGUCAUUGGCAAUUUUUGACAGUCUCUAUGGAGU
rnacentral:snRNA from 13 species